UGAGGAAUAUUGGUCAAUGGGCGAGAGCCUGAACCAGCCAAGUAGCGUGCAGGAUGACGGCCCUAUGGGUUGUAAACUGCUUUUAUAUGGGAAUAAAGUGAGGGACGUGUCCCUUAUUGCAUGUACCAUAUGAAUAAGGACCGGCUAAUUCCGUGCCAGCAGCCGCGGUAAUACGGAAGGUCCAGGCGUUAUCCGGAUUUAUUGGGUUUAAAGGGAGCGUAGGCUGUUUGUUAAGCGUGUUGUGAAAUGUAAGAGCUCAACUUUUAGAUUGCAUCGCGAACUGGCAGACUUGAGUGCGCACAACGUAGGCGGAAUUCAUUGUGUAGCGGUGAAAUGCUUAGAUAUCAUGACGAACUCCGAUUGCGAAGGCAGCUUACGGGAGCGCAACUGACGCUAAAGCUCGAAGGUGCGGGUAUCGAACAGG
rnacentral:rRNA from 1 species